CACCAUUUGGCUUUUUCCAUUUGUGGCAGAUUACUGUAACGCUAUUGUACAACAACUUCCUGCCUCUUUUGGCUCUGGUUCUAAAAACUGCAAAGGCAGCUCGUGGCUCCAACUUUUUCCCCCUCAGCCUUGAACUACAGGAGCUCUAUAAGGAAAGAAAAGGAGGAAGGAGAUAUGUAAAGUGGGUCUUUUACUGAGGAACUAUUUUGAUUGCAUUUCUGCUUUAUAAACUGCUGACAAUUAAAGAGGGCAAGAGGGGACUACAUGCCUAGCAGAGACAAUGAAAGAAAAAAAGGAUUCUGAAGGAACAAGAGGAGGAAAAGAGACACAGAGACAAAACGAGCAAGGGAGAGUUUCUCCUGGGAACAAGCUGGAAAUUAUGGACCUAUUCGAUAUCAGACCUCAGAGUGGACAACCUAUCCAAAGAGGGACGCGCCCUAACUGUAACUAACAACUACCUCUGGCAGCCCUUCAACAGACUAACAUAUUGUCCUGGACCAGGGCAGCAUCAAACUAGGGCAGCUUAGGCAUUAAAUCCCCAUCAAACUACAGUAUCAAUAAUGCUAUCAACAUGUUGAUAACAAUGCAUUAAAGUAAUUGAAUGUGUUUCAUGAGUUUAUAAGUUUUAUGAGUAAUAGAUUGAGUUGUAAAUUACUAAUACCUUAAGCAAGCUGAGACAGAAAGGGGAACAAUCCUGACAGUCAGUGCAAAUGUUUUAUUUUAUUAAAUAUUAUGGAUUACAUAAACACGUUUUUUAAAGUGCUGCGAUACUACAAGAACAAAAUUAAACCUUAAUACAACAUGGUAUACUCAUUCUGUCAAUCAAUCCGUUAAUCUAAGAAAUAUAUUAAAGUUGAAGUAAGCAUAAAAUGUUGUACAUUAAUGUGAAAUGAGAUAAAUUAUAUUGUGGAAUCAUUUGAUAUUUAGAAUAAAUGUUUUCUUCAUAUAACUACAGAACUCCUUUAAACAGAUCAACAAUUUAGGAAUUGUAAUUCCAAUAGUAUUAUGGUAAGCACCAGAGAUGUUUCAAUGUAGUAAAAACGUUAAUAAUUUCUACAACAUAGAUCAUAGUAAUUAAGUGAUCUUACCUAAACUGCACUGUAAAAAUACUGAUCUAAGGCACUAAGUUAACUGAUGUACAUGGACAAAUGAUCAAAAGUCAAUUACGCAUAAUAAUAAAAACGGAAAUUCUCCUUUUUUGUCCACUUGACUAGCCUGUACUCAGCUUCUACAUACCUGAACUCUCCCUUUUCAGUUCUCCCUGAGGGCUGCUAAUACCUACUUUAAAACAGCCUUGCCCAUUUAGUUUUAUUCUCCCUCGACACUCACCAGAAGUGCACAGGCCUGGCAUUUUAGGGGCCACGUCACAACGCCCGUGUCGGCGCCACAGGGCCACAAGGAGUCCAUCAGUCGAGCCAUACACACUCAGAAAUUCAUGCAUGCUGUUUUGUUAUUUUACACAUUCUCUCUUGCAUCCUUACUCUACUGAGAACAUUAAAACAUGCACCUAAUAAGCUUUAUCCAUUUCAUAAACAUGCACUCCUCCUCAUGCCUUCUCCAACACAGAUCCACAUUCAAACACUUUCUUUCUUCUGAUUACCACAGUAAAGUAAGCUCAGUCUCAGAAUAGAUAUAGAUACUAUAGAUCUAUAUACUAUAGAUACAAUUUCCAAUUUAGCAAUGCCAUUUAAUGAUGAUAACCAUUUCUAACUUUAAGCACAGUAAAAAAUAUCCGUGGCUUCCUUUAAAAGGGGACACAGUACUGGUAUUGAUUUAAAAGUGACAAGGAGAAAAACACUGAUUAGGUCAAUACCACUUUGGCUGAAAGACUGUAAAUGAUGUGCAUAAUGUUAUGUAUUUAUCUAUGUGGAAGAAAAGCAGAUCUUCAUAGGAGCUGGCGGUUUUAAUCCUUUGUUUUCUGUAAAUGUAGUCAAAAAUGUUCAUUUCCAGUAAAAUAUUAUUUUUAA